rnacentral:rRNA from 1 species
UGCGUAGGGGGCAAGCGUUGUCCGGAGUUACUGGGCGUAAAGCGCGCGCAGGCGGCUUUUUAAGUUUGGAGUGACAGUUGGUGGCUUAACUGCCAAAGUGCUUUGAAAACUGAAAGACUUGAGGGCUUCAGAGGGACACGGAAUUCCGGGUGGAGUGGUGAAAUGCGUAGAGAUCCGGAGGAACACCAAAGGCGAAGGCAGUGUCCUGGGGAGUACCUGACGCUCAGGUGCGAAAGCCAGGGGAGCGAACGGG